rnacentral:rRNA from 1 species
CGGCGGACGGGUGAGUAACGCGUGGGUAACCUGCCUCAUACAGGGGGAUAACAGUUAGAAAUGGCUGCUAAUACCGCAUAAGCGCACAGGACCGCAUGGUCUGGUGUGAAAAACUCCGGUGGUAUGAGAUGGACCCGCGUCUGAUUAGCUAGUUGGAGGGGUAACGGCCCCCCAAGGCAACGAUCAGUAGCCGGCCUGAGAGGGUGAACGGCCACAUUGGGACUGAGACACGGCCCAG